GUUUUCGUUAAAAAGAAAAAAGUCCUAAGCUCGGACGUAAGUUCGAGCAGUCGUGAAACAGGUAGGUCAUUAAAUCAGAAGUAUCUGUAAUACAUAUAAACUUGGAAGAGUAGCGCUAUUUGAGCGAUCACAUUAGCGUAUAUGCGUAGUUGGGUGGUGAUGUUGGAUUACAGUGGUCCCACAUUUGGUAAAUAAGUAGGCUCAUUGGAUUAUAAUGUUCACACGAUUACCGCGUUUGAAAUUAAUGGUGGAUGAUGAGUGCUUUGCUUAUAUUAUUUUAUAACGCUGCCGAAAAUUCAUGUUUUAUAUUCAAAGGUGAUUACAGUCUUAUUUUUAAUAUAUAUUCUAACCUUAAUUUGCUAUCUAUUACAGUAUACUUUUUUUGAUACGAUUCUUAAGCUAAUCUUUUAUAAGCUUAGAAAUUAGACUGAUUCAUGGAUGGAAUGAUUUCACGUGAUAGUAUGCCGUUAUCAUAAAAUAUUGUAGAUAAACUGUUCCUAGCGCAUUAAGUCCAGCCAGCCGCAUUUUCGUCACGCUUUGAUGCCAGCCGUGCGCUACAUCAUAUUUAUUCCUAACAAAGAUCAUCGUCGUAUUGAUUCUUUCGAUUUUUAUUUUGUUAAAAAAAUGUGGAUGUAUAUAAUUGUACAUAUUUUUGUAAAUAUUGAAUAUUGCGCAGAUACGAUCGAAAAUACACGAAAUGACAUCCUCUUUGCACUAGUAGCGCAUCAUAUAGUGGUAACUAAGUUGUCAUAUUUAUUUCUAAAAAUACUUACUUCUUCUCUAUUAUAUUAUUAAAAAUAUUCGUAUAUGUAUAAAUG
rnacentral:lncRNA from 1 species